CAAUAGCGUAUAUUAAAGUUGUUGCAGUUAAAAAGCUCGUAGUUGAAUUUCUGGUGGGCGCGCCGGUCUUCCAAGUGUUGUACUGGGCGCAGUCCGCCAUCCUUGUGGAGAGGGCUCGCAUUGAGUUGCGUGUCGGAUCUGCAUCAUUUACUGUGAAAAAAUUAGAGUGUUUAAAGCAGGCUGUCGCUUGAAUACAUUAGCAUGGAAUAAUAAGAUAGGACUUCGGUCUAUUUUGUUGGUUGCGAACCGAGGUAAUGAUUAAUAGGGAUAGUUGGGGGUAUUCAUAUUUAAUUGUCAGAGGUGAAAUUCUUGGAUUUAUGAAAGAUGAACAACUACGAAAGCAUUUACCAAGGAUGUUUUCAUUAA
rnacentral:rRNA from 1 species